rnacentral:lncRNA from 1 species
GACUUGACAUAGUCAUAACAAUUAUGACUAACCUGGUGGCAUGGGUUAGCUCGAAUUGUUAGCCACCUCUAAUCAGAACUGAGUCGACACAUAUGGCCAGGUAAGUGAGACCGCUGGGAGGGAUAUGCCAUUAACUCGAUAAGAACGCAUUCGAGUCGAGUAGCUCCCAAUUAAAAAUCAGUCGAUCGCAUCUGUCCAACUUACCUUAGACACCAAAUUAUCGAA